UACGGGGGGAGCAAGCGUUGUUCGGAUUUACUGGGCGUAAAGGGCGCGUAGGCGGCCACCGCAAGUCGACUGUGAAAUCUCCGGGCUUAACCCGGAAAGGUCAGCCGAUACUGCGGGGCUAGAGUGCAGAAGGGGCAACUGGAAUUCUCGGUGUAGCGGUGAAAUGCGCAGAUAUCAGGAGGAACACCGGUGGCGAAGGCGGGUCUCUGGGCCGAUACUGACGCUGAGGAGCGAAAGCGUGGGGGAGCGAACAGG
rnacentral:rRNA from 1 species